GACUCUUUAUGAGAGUUGAAAAGUAAAGACCAUGAGGUACUUCUUCAGCUACAGAAACUUGAGAUUUUUUGCCAUCCACCUCCAGAAGUGUCCUCUUCCACUUCAAUACCUCUGCCUUUUGGAUAGGCUUGACAUGAACAGUAAUCAGCAACAAAAAGUGCGCCUAAAGUGAACUGUAAUCAGUGGGAAGUAACUGAAGUGAAAUAUUUUCAUACAGAGGUCAUCAUUUUCUUGUGGAAAAUGGUACAAGUACAUAAUUACUUCAAAGCAGGAAAAAAAUUCUUGUGGUGGACAAGAAGGGCAAUGGAUAUAAUUUAUCUGUAAUUAUGCAAGGCCUUUGACACAGCCCAACUCCACUUCCUUAUCUCUCUGUAUUGGAGAGUUAUGGAUUUGAAGGGUGAACUACUUGAUGGACAACAAAUUUGUUGGGUAAUUGCAGCCAGAAGGAUAUGGUCAGUGUCUGUGUAUCCAGGUGGAGGGUGUUUCAGACAACCACAAGUGCACCAUGCAGAUGCUUGCUGAUCACUUGCAAAAAUAAAAAGCAUAUAGUAGUGCUGAAAAAUAGUGUUUUGUAGCUGAAAAUUUGCUCUGACAAAUAGGGUUAUUGUGAUCUUUCUAACUAUUGUAGCUUCCAUGGAAAUAAGCAGG